AACCGGCGAACGGGUGCGUAACACGUGGAUAAUCUACCUUCCUGACUGGGACAACUGGCCGAAAGGCUUGCUAAUACCAGAUAAGCCCACGGGCGCUUCGGCGCUUGAGGGAAAAGGUGGCCUCUGCAAGCAAGCUAUCGCAGGGAGAUGAGUCCGCGGCCCAUCAGCUAGUUGGCGGGGUAAAAGCCCACCAAGGCUACGACGGGUAGCUGGUCUGAGAGGAUGAUCAGCCACACUGGAACUGAGACACGGUCCAGACUCCUACGGGAGGCAGCAGUGGGGAAUCUUGCGCAAUGGGCGAAAGCCUGACGCAGCAACGCCGCGUGUGUGAUGAAGGUCUUCGGAUCGUAAAGCACUGUCGCGAGGGAAGAUACGCCGAUGGCCAACAUCCAUCGGCUGAGACGGUACCUCGAGAGGAAGCACCGGCUAACUCUGUGCCAGCAGCCGCGGUAAUACAGAGGGUGCGAGCGUUGUUCGGAAUUAUUGGGCGUAAAGCGCUUGUAGGCGGCCUGUCAAGUCGCGUGUGAAAUCCCCUGGCUUAACCAGGGAAGUGCGCGCGAAACUGGCGGGCUUGAGUGCCGGAGAGGGUCGCGGAAUUCCCGGUGUAGAGGUGAAAUUCGUAGAUAUCGGGAGGAACACCAGUGGCGAAGGCGGCGACCUGGACGGACAC
rnacentral:rRNA from 1 species